rnacentral:rRNA from 1 species
CCUACGGGGGCAGCAGUGGGGAAUAUUGGACAAUGGGGGGAACCCUGAUCCAGCCAUGCCGCGUGUGUGAAGAAGGCCCUCGGGUUGUAAAGCACUUUCAGUGAGGAAGAACGCCUGGUGGUUAAUACCCAUCAGGAAAGACAUCACUCACAGAAGAAGCACCGGCUAACUCCGUGCCAGCAGCCGCGGUAAUACGGAGGGUGCGAGCGUUAAUCGGAAUUACUGGGCGUAAAGCGCGCGUAGGUGGCUUGAUAAGCCGGUUGUGAAAGCCCCGGGCUCAACCUGGGAACGGCAUCCGGAACUGUCAAGCUAGAGUGCAGGAGAGGAAGGUAGAAUUCCCGGUGUAGCGGUGAAAUGCGUAGAGAUCGGGAGGAAUACCAGUGGCGAAGGCGGCCUUCUGGACUGACACUGACACUGAGGUGCGAAAGCGUGGGUAGCAAACAGGAUUAGAUACUCCAGUAGUC